GCAAAGUCAGUUGGCAUAAUUGGAGGCCCAUUUUGAAAUUUGCUAUGGGGCCCCCUUUCUUCUAGGUAUGCCACAGUAGUGUAGGUAAAAUAAAGUGACAGUCACAGCACUUGUUCAUGCAUCACACUUGGCCUGUUCUCUUCUCACAAGGCCCUAACCUUCUGCUAUCCUGACUAAAAGCUGCCUUAUCCCUCCUGUGCCUCGCAUCUCCUCAGCCACCUGUGUGGACGAGUCGUGCCAGGGGGACCUGCCGCAGCGGGCUCUGGUGAAAACCAGCAGCACCUUAGACUCCGCUCCCUGGUACGGUCCGAGUCAUCUGCCCCACAGGUCCAGCGGAUCCACAUCCACCGGUGUUCGUGUCUUCUGAAACGUGAUUAAUGGCCGGAGAGAGAAUAAAGCGUGCAUUAAGGAAAUGAAGGCAUAUUUCAAGAACAGGAGGUCUACCAUUAAUCGCUGGCCUGUCUUCUUUCGGAAGGGUUAAUUCUUGCCAGCGUGCCACGCCAGCCAGAGGAGAAGUAGGCAGAGAACCUUCUAACGUAAAAUCAAUAGAAAUUGUUCCCCCUUGUCAGCCAUAAGAAGCUGAAUAGAUUUUGUGUAAGAUGGAAUAAUUUACUAAAAACAUCUCUUAACGUCAGUGCUGCCUUUCUCGGGGCUGUGAAAUGAGUCAUCGGCACAGUGGAUUAUUUAAAGCACCGUGUGUGUCUAUAACCAUGUAUAUAUACACGUUAUUAUAUAUUGAAAAACUGUCUACUCUACUCCCCAGCCUCUUAUAAUCCACAGAGAAAGGACGCACCGGGGUUCCCUUGUGGAAAUUUAGCAAAGAAAAAUCAGUAAUGCUCUUAGAAUCAAACAAUAAAUCCUCAACUUAUUUGCCAGCACAUUUAAUUAAAUAUUUCGCAAAGAAAACCCCAGGUGAUUGAUUUGCCUACGGUAUUGAUCCGGUAUUGAUUCCUGCUAACCCAGCUGUGGUAUGUGUUAAACAGCAACGUUGCUCUCAGAUGAUCGCCGCUGAAUUAUAGCUGAAAAUACUUGCCUUGCAAAUAAAAAAAAAUAGAAAAAAUGCUGUUUACAUAUAGCGGCUUGGAAAAUAUUAUUAAUGCUAAACCCGGCUGUGGCAGUAAUGUUAAUGAUACUUUUAUAUGUGCAUUUUCUUUCACGACGUAAAUCAACAUGAGUUCAGUUAGAAUUUUCAUUACAACUUUGUGUAUUGAAU